GUAACGCGUGAGAACCUGCCUUCAGAAUGGGGACAACAGUUGGAAACGACUGCUAAUACCCAAUGUGCCGAAAGGUGAAAGAUUUAUCGUCUGAAGAUGGGCUCGCGUCUGAUUAGCUAGAUGGUGGGGUAAGAGCCUACCAUGGCAACGAUCAGUAGCUGGUCUGAGAGGAUGAGCAGCCACACUGGGACUGAGACACGGCCCAGACUCCUACGGGAGGCAGCAGUGGGGAAUUUUCCGCAAUGGGCGAAAGCCUGACGGAGCAAUACCGCGUGAGGGAGGAAGGUCCUUGGAUUGUAAACCUCUUUUAUCAGGGAAGAAGUUCUGACGGUACCUGAUGAAUAAGCAUCGGCUAACUCCGUGCCAGCAGCCGCGGUAAUACGGAGGAUGCAAGCGUUAUCCGGAAUUAUUGGGCGUAAAGCGUCCGUAGGUGGUUUUUCAAGUCUGCUGUUAAAGAAUGGAGCUUAACUCCAUAGGAGCGGUGGAAACUGAGAGACUAGAGUACAGUAGGGGUAGCAGGAAUUCCCAGUGUAGCGGUGAAAUGCGUAGAUAUUGGGAAGAACAUCGGUGGCGAAAGCGUGCUACUGGCUGAAACUGACACUGAGACGAAAGUA
rnacentral:rRNA from 1 species